rnacentral:rRNA from 1 species
AAUGAACGCUGGCGGCGCGCCUAAUACAUGCAAGUCGAGCGAGAAGACGUAGCAAUACGUUUGUAAAGCGGCGAACGGGUGAGGAAUACAUGGGUAACCUACCCUCGAGUGGGGAAUAACUAGCCGAAAGGUUAGCUAAUACCGCGUACGCUCCUUGGACUUCGGUUCAGGGAGGAAAGCGAUACCGUGGGUAUCGCGCUCUUGGUUGGGCUCAUGUCCUAUCAGCUUGUUGGUGAGGUAACGGCUCACCAAGGCUUCGACGGGUAGCUGGUCUGAGAGGACGAUCAGCCACACUGGCACUGCGACACGGGCCAGACUCCUACGGGAGGCAGCAGUAAGGAAUAUUGCGCAAUGGGCGAAAAGCCUGACGCAGCGACGCCGCGUGGGGGA